GACGAACGCUGGCGGCGUGCUUAACACAUGCAAGUCGAACGGAAAGGCCCUGCUUUUGUGGGGUGCUCGAGUGGCGAACGGGUGAGUAACACGUGAGUAACCUGCCCUUGACUUUGGGAUAACUUCAGGAAACUGGGGCUAAUACCGGAUAGGAGCUCCUGCUGCAUGGUGGGGGUUGGAAAGUUUCGGCGGUCGGGGAUGGACUCGCGGCUUAUCAGCUUGUUGGUGGGGUAGUGGCUUUCCAAGGCUUUGACGGGUAGCCGGCCUGAGAGGGUGACCGGCCACAUUGGGACUGAGAUACGGCCCAGACUCCUACGGGAGGCAGCAGUGGGGAAUAUUGCACAAUGGGCGGAAGCCUGAUGCAGCAACGCCGCGUGCGGGAUGACGGCCUUCGGGUUGUAAACCGCUUUCGCCUGUGACGAAGCGUGAGUGACGGUAAUGGGUAAAGAAGCACCGGCUAACUACGUG
rnacentral:rRNA from 1 species